AGAGUGAACGCUGGCGGUAGGCCUAACACAUGCAAGUCGAACGGCAGCACAGUGGUAGCAAUACCGUGGGUGGCGAGUGGCGGACGGGUGAGGAAUACAUCGGAAUCUACCUUUUCGUGGGGGAUAACGUAGGGAAACUUACGCUAAUACCGCAUACGCCCUUCGGGGGAAAGCCGGGGAUCGCAAGACCUGGCGCGGAUAGAUGAGCCGAUGUCGGAUUAGCUAGUUGGUGAGGUAAUGGCUCACCAAGGCGACGAUCCGUAGCUGGUCUGAGAGGAUGAUCAGCCACACUGGAACUGAGACACGGUCCAGACUCCUACGGGAGCAGCAGUGGGAAUAUUGGACAAUGGGCGCAAGCCUGAUCCAGCCAUACCGCGGUGGGUAGAAGAAGGCCGUUCGGUUGUAAGUCCC
rnacentral:rRNA from 1 species